UACGUAGGGGGCUAGCGUUGUCCGGAAUCAUUGGGCGUAAAGAGCGUGUAGGCUGCUCGGUAAGUCCGCUGUAAAAGUCAAAGGCUCAACCUUUGAAUGUCAGUGGAUACUGCCGGGCUAGAGUCCGGAAGAGGCGAGUGGAAUUCCUGGUGUAGCGGUGAAAUGCGUAGAUAUCGUAAGGAAGACCAGUGGCGAAGGCGGGUCUCUGGACAGUUCCUGACGCUGAGGCACGAAGGUCAGGGGAGCAAACGGG
rnacentral:rRNA from 1 species